AGAUAUUCCCACAAUAUUUUUUCCUGUUUGAAAUACUGCUUUCCCUGGACAACAUAUUCAUUCUGCAGAACACAAACUAGCUUAAAAAAGGAAAUACUACAAAUGUUUAUAAAAGUACUUUUAAACUUCCAGGAAAAGUAUAAAAGCAAAAGAGCAAAAGAUUAAUUUAAAAUUCUCUAAGCUGCCAAGACUUAGCUGCAAGACUGCUUCAUAAAGAGCGUUUACUUCAAGUUAUGUACAGCAAAAAGCUUAAUGGCAAAUCCCAUAGAAAACUUUGAUUACAUUGAACUAUUUUUCUCUAUUUGAUAAAUAGAAGAUAUUUUCCCCAAAACAACUGUGUUCUGGACAUCACUGGCAUUGCGCAAGCUGUUUGCACACAUCAAUAGAGGAGUAUAACCUUCAAUAUGGAGGUUUAAACCUUCAAUUAAGACAUUUAUAAAUUGAAUUCUAUCUCAACAUCCAACAAUCAAAUGCAACUCUUGUUCCAAAGCCUGCGUGAAGAUUCGGAGCAACUUACAGAUCACAGAAUUCACAGCUCCUCUCUAAAGGAUUCAACAGAACUACCAUAAGGAUACACAAUACAUUCCAUAAGCUGGAGGAGUACCCAUUGCUUUAAUUUCUCCAUGUUCUUCACUGUACCCUUGAGAUGGGAUAAUUACAUCAAGUCCCAAAAUCACUACCAUUGAUGCCUCCUAGAAGUCAGAAGCAUAUGGACUUCAUGCCUGUGAAGCCAAGAUUUUGUGCAGGAUCUUGUUCUGGGUACAAUUACACAGAGCUCUAAACCAGAUGGUUUCUAUUCUGUUGUAGAAAAAGGAUAAAUUUGACAUCCCUAAAACUGAAGCAGAUGAACCCAGAAUCUGUAGUCUGGGGUGCUCCUACCUACACCUCAAUUACUUAAA